AAAUUUCAUAUUGAUGUAUAGAUAGAUUAUGGUUUAAAAUUUCUUUAUGUUAUUGUUCAGUAUAAGCCCUUCUCUGGUACUGGGAAAAGCAGCGAACUAAGGUUUUGAACCCCCCCCCCCCCCCCGACCUCAGUUCUCCUGUGCCCUAGCUGAGACUUAUUGCUUAGCAGUGAUAACCUCCGCACUACGGCGCUCCAAUGAACAAGAGUUCUCCGCCUUAGUAUAUUUAGAAGAGUGGUUUCAUCUUAGUGGGCAGAGUUAUGUCGAACAUAUCUAGUAGAAGAAAGGGGGUACAAAAGAGGGAUGCAAACCAAGCUUGGAAGAAUACACGCAAAAUGCUUGGAUUUCAAUUGCUGACCCAACAAUGUUAAUUCACUUUGACUGUGCUUUCUCUGACCAUGUCUCAAUCCAAGUCUUGAAGUUUAUCACAACACCGUCAACAAAUCCUCCGUCUAGUUAAUGACCUCGGAACUUCGCUAAUAAAUAACCAAUCUUCUUACUUCUAGUAGUGUUGAGUU
rnacentral:sRNA from 1 species